GGGUUGUUCACACUAAGGAUUAGAGCAUCCCCAAUGUCCUCUGCUGAAUUUAUAGAAUCAUUGUCAUCUCCAAAUUUCUGAUUCUGUUUCUUCUUUGGCUUUGUACAGUUCGUCCUAAAGUGCCCUUUUUCUCCACAGUUCCAACAAGUCACGUUUGAUCAGUUCAGGAAUUUUCCUUGAUUUUUUGAUUUUGAUCGACCAUGUUGAUUUUGGCCUUUCGUCUUACUUCUCCUCCUUCGAUCAACGCUGAGAGCACUGCCCGAUGAAUAUCCUACUUCUUGU
rnacentral:misc_RNA from 1 species